rnacentral:rRNA from 1 species
CGGGUGAGUAAUGCUUAGGAAUCUGCCUAGUAGCGGGGGAUAACUUGGGGAAACCCAAGCUAAUACCGCAUACGACCUACGGGUGAAAGGGGGCUUUUAGCUCUCGCUAUUAGAUGAGCCUAAGUCGGAUUAGCUGGUUGGUGGGGUGAAGGCCUACCAAGGCGGCGAUCUGUAGCUGGUCUGAGAGGAUGAUCAGCCACACUGGGACUGAGACACGGCCCAG